rnacentral:lncRNA from 1 species
UAAUUCAAUAUCUCAAAAUGGCGACGGUUUAAGUUGAUGAUGACUUCUGUCCACCUAACGGGAAUUCCAGUUCUAGCAGUAUCGCUUUUCACUGACAGGGGGCAGCUUAUAAUUCAUAUAGAAAUUGCGUCUCCCCAUAUUAGAAAACCUACCCAUAAUAGGCAACUUUCCUCUAUUAAAAUGCUGUUGAAGACGAACGUCGUCGCAUUUCGUCUAACAUUUCAAAAAAAUGUCGAGUUUAACGAACAUUUACCGUGUUCGUUCCUUGUACGGGUUUUUAUUUUAUAUCAUUAAAUCGUCAAAUAUAGAAAAAUAAUAAUAUAUAAAUAAUUCAGUUGAAUAAACAAACUCAUAAAGAGAUUUCAUGAUUUUUCAUUUCGUGCAUAAUUCACAUGACGCAUUGCUCCUCCCUUUCCUAAAUAAAAUAAUUAUGUAGAGCGAUAUUUUUUAUUAUUAUUAUUAAAACUAUAAAUGAUUAUAUUAUUAUACGGACAAGUGA